rnacentral:rRNA from 1 species
GGGGGGGGGGGGGGGGGGGCGGGGCGCGGGCGGGGCGGGGGGCGGCGCAGUAGGAGGUGGGUGGGACGGGGGGCGAGUGGCGGACGGGUGGGGACGCCCUCGGAGUCUACGUUUUCGUGGGGUAGAACUUAUGGAGACUUACGCACAUACCGCAUCCGGCCUCCGCGUGAAAGCGUGGACUCUGCUUCCAUGUCUCGAUUUCAUGAGCCUAUGUCGGGUUAGCUAGUUGGCGGGGUAACGACCCACACAGGCGACGAUCCGUAGCUGGUCUGAGAGGAUGAUCAGCCACCAUGGAAAUGAGAAACGGUCCAGACUCCUAAGGGAGGCAGCAGUGGGGAAUAUUGGACAAUGGGCGCAAGCCUGAUCCAGCCAUACCGCGUGGGUGAAGAAGGCCUUCGGGUUGUAAAGCCCUUUUGUUGGGAAAGAAAAGCAGCAGGUUAAUACCCCGCUGUUCUGACGGUACCAAAAGAAUAAGCACCGGCUAACUUCGUG